rnacentral:rRNA from 1 species
UACAGAGGGUGCGAGCGUUGUCCGGAAUCACUGGGCGUAAAGGGCGCGUAGGUGGCCCGACAAGUCAGUGGUGAAAGCUCGACGCUCAACGUCGAGUCGGCCACUGAUACUGUUGGGCUGGAGCACUGUAGAGGCAGAUGGAAUUCCGGGUGUAGCGGUGGAAUGCGUAGAGAUCCGGAAGAACACCGGUGGCGAAGGCGGUCUGCUGGGCAGUUGCUGACACUGAGGCGCGACAGCGUGGGGAGCAAACAGGG